rnacentral:rRNA from 1 species
AGAAUCAACGCUGGCGGCGUGCCUAACACAUGCAAGUCGAACGCGAAAGUCCCGCAAGGGAUCAGUAGAGUGGCGCACGGGUGAGUAACACGUGACUAACCUACCCUGGAGUGGGGGAUAACUGAGGGAAACCUUAGCUAAUACCGCAUAAUACCUACGGGCCAAAGGAGCAAUUCGCUUCAGGAGGGGUCGCGGCCGAUUAGUUAGUUGGCGGGGUAAUGGCCCACCAAGACAGUGAUCGGUA